rnacentral:rRNA from 1 species
AGUAAAAGUCGUAACAAGGUUUCCGUAGGUGAACCUGCGGAAGGAUCAUUACAGAGUUCAUGCCCGAAAGGGUAGACCUCCCACCCUUGUGUAUUAUUACUUUGUUGCUUUGGCGAGCUGCCUUCGGGCCUUGUAUGCUCGCCAGAGAAUACCAAAACUCUUUUUAUUAAUGUCGUCUGAGUACUAUAUAAUAGUUAAAACUUUCAACAAUGGAUCUCUUGGUUCUGGCAUCGACGAAGAACGCAGCGAAAUGCGAUAAGUAGUGUGAAUUGCAGAAUUCAGUGAAUCAUCGAAUCUUUGAACGCACAUUGCGCCCCUCGGUAUUCCGUGGGGCAUGCCUGUUCGAGCGUCAUUUACACCCUCAAGCUCUGCUUGGUGUUGGGCGUCUGUCCCGCCUCCGUGCGCGGACUCGCCUCAAAGUCAUUGGCAGCGGUCUCGUCGGCUUCUCGCGCAGCACAUUUGCGCUUCUUGGAGCCCCGGCGGAUCAGCGUCCAGCAAGCAAUUUCAUGACUUGACCUCGGAUCAGGUAGGGAUACCCGCUGAACUUAAGCAUAUCAAUAAGCGGAGGA